rnacentral:misc_RNA from 1 species
GAUGAAGAACGCAGUGAAAUGCGAUAAGUAGUGUGAAUUGCAGAAUUCAGUGAAUCAUCGAAUCUUUGAACGCACAUUGCGCCCUUUGGUAUUCCAAAGGGCAUGCCUGUUCGAGCGUCAUUUGUACCCUCAAGCUUUGCUUGGUGUUGGGCGUCUUGUCUCUAGCUUUGCUGGAGACUCGCCUUAAAGUAAUUGGCAGCCGGCCUACUGGUUUCGGAGCGCAGCACAAGUCGCACUCUCUAUCAGCAAAGGUCUAGCAUCCAUUAAGCCUUUUUUUCAACUUUUGACCUCGGAUCAGGUAGGGAUACCCGCUGAACUUAAGCAUAUCAAUAAGCGGAGGA